rnacentral:rRNA from 1 species
UACAGAGGGUGCGAGCGUUAAUCGGAAUUACUGGGCGUAAAGCGUGCGCAGGCGGUUUUGUAAGCCAGAUGUGAAAGCCCCGGGCUCAACCCUGGGAAUGGCAUUUGGGACUGCAAGGCUGGAGUUUGGCAGAGGAGACUGGAAUUCCUGGUGUAGCAGUGAAAUGCGUAGAUAUCAGGAGGAAUACCGAUGGCGAAGGCAGGUCUCUGGGCUAUAACUGACGCUCAUGCACGAAAGCGUGGGAGC